CGUCCUCGUGGUGUUGGGCGUCUAUGCGUUCUCGGUCUGUUUGGCUGGCGUAGGGUCUGGGGAUCUGCGGGUUGGUUGAAAGUGGAUGGAAAGUUUGAGAAGAGGCGUCGUCCCCGCCCGGUGGCCGGCCGCUCCCCGCCCCGCUCUUCCCACGGCUCGGAGGCGGAGGCCGCGCCGAUGAAGCCGGCUCAGGACUGACAAUCCUGUGCUUCCACAAAGCCCAGGGUCCUGAACUCAGUCUGGGUUCCGUGGGUCAGUUGCAUUGCUGACAACCGACUGGGUUGCUGGCAUGGAGCCCAGGAUGAGGAGGCCCCUUCAGAGCAAGAGGUUUCUGUAGGAGGGUCACAGGUCAGGACUCCAAAGCCAGGCCCAUCCAUCCAGAAGUCCCAGCCCUGGGAGAUGUGCGGCUGCUUUGGAAAGACCUUUUGCGCUUGGCUGAGCAUGAUGGAACACACCCUGAGCGAGGUCUGCACAUUUGUGGGGCAAACCUGCAGCAGCAUCAGAAGCAGCAGAAUAGAGAUAAACUUUCCCUAAAGGAAAGGGGAGCCCUUCAUUUGGACCACGUAGCUUAUAUGGCAGAGAAGACCUUGGUAUGGAGGGAGGGUGGAGAGGACUUCACAGUCUUUCUCCCCACCCCGCCCAGCCACUCUCAGUGGGUUGAAGCCACACAGGGACACGGAGUGGAGAGGCCUUUGAAAGUGGACGAAAUGGUUGUAAGUGCAGCAGGUAUGGGAAAGCGUUCAGCCACAGGACAUGCUUGUAGAGUCCCAGAAAGUCCACACUGCAGAAGGGCCUUAGAGUGUAGUGAAAGUGGGACAUUUUUUUAGGUACAACUCUAACCUCAGUAAACAUUUCAGCAGUCACAGUAAAGAAAGGGUUUUUAAAUGCAGCCAAUGUGGGAAAAUCUUUAGGUACAACUCCACACUUAACUAGCCACCAGGAAGUUCAUAGCGUAGAAAGAGUGCAGUGAAUGCAGGAAGUGUUUCACACACAACUCCAGUCUCCUUAGACAGCAGAGCAGUCACAUUGGAGAAAGGCCUUGUUUGUGCCGUGAAUGUGGGAAGGCCUUCGUCAGAAAGUCCCACCUCCUGGGGCGCCUGGGUGGCUCAGUCGUUAAGCGUCUGCCUUCGGCUCAGGUCAUGGUCCCAGGGUCCUGGGAUCAAGCCCCGCAUCGGG